UGUAGCAAUACAUGGGUGGCGACCGGCAAACGGGUGCGGAACACGUACGCAACCUUCCUUUAACUGGAGAAUAGCCCGGGGAAACCCGGAUUAAUACUCCGUAACAUUAUGAAGUGGCAUCACUUUAUAAUUAUAGCUCCGGCGGUUGAAGAUGGGCGUGCGUCUGAUUAGGUAGUUGGCGGGGUAACGGCCCACCAAGCCUACGAUCAGUAACUGGUGUGAGAGCACGACCAGUCACACGGGCACUGAGACACGGGCCCGACUCCUACGGGAGGCAGCAGUAAGGAAUAUUGGUCAAUGGACGCAAGUCUGGACCAGCCAUGCCGCGUGGAGGAUGAAGGUCCUCUGGAUUGUAAACUUCUUUUAUUUGGGAAGAAACCCCCGAUUUCUAUUGGGGUUGACGGUACCAGAUGAAUAAGCACCGGCUAACUCCGUGCCAGCAGCCGCGGUAAUACGGAGGGUGCAAGCGUUAUCCGGAUUCACUGGGUUUAAAGGGUGCGUAGGCGGGCAGGUAAGUCCGUGGUGAAAUCUCCAAGCUUAACUUGGAAACUGCCGUGGAUACUAUUUGUCUUGAAUAUAGUGGAGGUGAGCGGAAUAUGUCAUGUAGCGGUGAAAUGCUUAGAUAUGACAUAGAACACCCAUUGCGAAGGCAGCUCGCUACACUAUUAUUGACGCUGAGGCACGAAAGCGUGGGGAUCAAACAGGAUUAGAUACCCUGGUAGUCCACGCCCUAAACGAUGAUUACUCGACAUCAGCGAUACACUGUUGGUGUCUGAGCGAAAGCAUUAAGUAAUCCACCUGGGAAGUACGACCGCAAGGUUGAAACUCAAAGGAAUUGAC
rnacentral:rRNA from 1 species